rnacentral:lncRNA from 10 species
AAUCCGGCCCUUUCCGGUGGAGGACCCUUCCCCCUGGGUUGAUCUUGAGGAACUUAAGAGACGGUGUUUUGACUCGACUCCUUUCCCCUUUUUCCUCCCGGUAUCAAUAGUUUUCUACAGGUUCGGGACUACACUGUUUAAUAUAUAACCCCAACCCUUGGUACCGCACUGACCUUCAGUAUUUGGUUGCUGAAAUCUUCAAUGAUGAAAGGGCUGAGAUCCAGACCUUCUUAGAGAGAACACAGCCAGUGGAGAGUCACUCUAUGGCAGGAAAUAUUCUGUAUUGCCUUACAGGCAGAACUUGCUGAAACUCCAACCUCUGGAAAUUACUGGAACCCUGCAUUCUAGAACUUGCUGGAAACCCACCCUCUGGAAUUGGCCUGCUAGAGUGCCUGAGAAGGAUGUUCAUAGGGAAAUGUUUCAGCAGAGGAACUCUACUACAAAAACCACAAGAGGGAGGGUGCCAGGGGAAGUGGCCUGGUGCUAUUGAAACUGCAACACAGAAGCCAGCCACUGGAGAGAGCUGCACAAGCUGCAGGAACACCCUACCCAGUAAGCCGGCCAGAAGGAGGGAGCAAAACCUUUUCUCUCUGCAACAUCUUUCCAGUUUCCUCUACUGGAAAAGCUUCAUUGCCAGCUGACAAAAGGAAAAAUACUUAAAUGGAUCAGAUCCAUUUUCACAGAGCAGUCAAUAAUGGUGAAUUUGGAGAUGAUAAGCAACAAAUUGAUGAACUGGCACAACUUCCCUGCUACUUUCUUGAUUGUAAUGCCUAGAUAGGGAAUAGGAAAGUUAUUGAAAUGUAUGUGUUCCCAUGAAAUGUGUUUAUUUGUUGUUCAAGAUCAAUACUAAUAAAUGGGGACUAAUGUUCUGAAGUA